rnacentral:rRNA from 1 species
UACAGAGGGCUCAAGCGUUGUUCGGAUUCAUUGGGCGUAAAGGGUGCGUAGGCGGCGCCGUAAGUCGGGUGUGAAAUUUCGGAGCUUAACUCCGAAACUGCAUUCGAUACUGCGGUGCUUGAGGACUGGAGAGGAGACUGGAAUUCAUGGUGUAGCAGUGAAAUGCGUAGAUAUCUGGAGGAACACCGGUGGCGAAGGCGGCGUCCUGGACCAACACUGACACUGAUGAGCGAAAGCCAGGGGAGCAAACGGG